UACAGAGGUCUCAAGCGUCGUUCGGAUUCAUUGGGCGUAAAGGGCGCGUAGGCGGGCUGUCAAGUCUGGGGUGAAAUGCUGCGGCUCAACCGUAGAACUGCCUUAGAUACUGACGGCCUCGAGGAAGGUAGGGGCAUGCGGAACUGUAGGUGGAGCGGUGAAAUGCGUUGAUAUCUACAGGAACUCCGGUGGCGAAAGCGGCGUGCUGGACCUUUUCUGACGCUGAGGCGCGAAAGCUAGGGGAGCAAACGGG
rnacentral:rRNA from 1 species